UCGCGUAGCAGGUCAGGUGUCAACCAGGCAAGCAGAAUAUUUUUCGUCGAAUACCUCAGGGCUUUAAAGUGUGUACCAGUACAGAUUGAGCGGCCUAAAAUGAUUGAAUAAAUUACUUGAGUCGUCUUUCGUGCCAGAGCAGGUUUAAGCGAGGAAGUAGACAGCUGGCUGGAGUUUUCCGGGCUGUACACAGCGGUCUAGUGUCUUCCUUGGGGUGCGUUGCAUUUCUGUAGCUGCUGCAAUGUUCGUGCAGGAGGAGAAGAUCUUCGCUGGCAAAGUCCUAAAGGUCCAUGUCUGUACACUGGAAGGCACGGAGUGGAUUGAGGAGGUUACAGACGACACCACUAUAGAGAAACUCAAAGAAAAAUGCUUGAAGCAUUAUGUCCAUGGGAGUCUAGAGGAUCCUAAAACCCUUACACAUCAUAAACUCAUUCAUGCUGCCACUGAGAGAAUUCUCACAGAAUCCAAAACAGUUGCUGAGGAGAAUCUCAAAGAUAACGAUUGUUUGUUAUUGAUAAAGAAAAGACCUCCACUGGCUCCACAAAAAAUGACUGACGUAUCUGCUGAAGAGAAGAAGCAGGAGAACAAAGCUCCGGAUAAGGAUGCUAUCCUUAAAGCCACUGCAAAUUUGUCAACACGUAACACUGACCGUACAGUAACUCAGCACAACAUCAGAGAUUUUCAGACAGAACUGAGAAAAAUUCUGGUGUCACUUAUUGAGGUGGCUCAGAAGCUGCUGGCUUUGAAUCCAGAUGCUGUUGAGCUCUUCAAAAAGGCCAAUGCUAUGCUGGAUGAGGAUGAGGAGGACCGAGUGGAUGAAACAGCCCUGCAGCAGCUGACUGAGAUGGGUUUCCCUGAGAGUCGUGCUGUGAAGGCUCUACGCUUAAACCACAUGUCUGUGACCCAGGCUAUGGAAUGGCUGAUUGAGCACAUAGAUGACCCCAUGAUUGACGAGCCUCUGCCAGGACGGGACACCCCAGGGGCGACUGCAGCAGCUGAAGCCCCAGGGCUUUCUACUACAACUUUAAGAGCCCAAGCCUGUCUCCCUUACCAGUCCAGCACAGAGGUGGCCAGACAUGAUGAGUUGACAGAGAUCUUCCAAAGGAUUAGAAGGAAAAGAGAAUUCAGACCUGACUCAAGGGCAGUUAUUGCGCUGAUGGAGAUGGGCUUUGAUGAGAAGGAGGUUAUUGAUGGCCUCCGUGUCAAUAACAAUCAACAGGAUGCAGCUUGUGAAUGGUUGCUAGGUGAAAGGAAGCCCACCCCUGAAGAUCUGGACAAAGGCAUUGAUACCAACAGUCCUCUAUUUCAGGCCAUCCUGGAGAACCCUGUGGUACAGCUUGGUCUCACAAAUCCUAAGACUCUGCUAGUGGGUCCACGUUAAAUGACCGUGGAGAGGAGACAGGGCUUGAGGUAGGAGAGGAAUGUGAAGAAGAAAGGGGGGAAGAGAGAGGAAAUGAUGAGAAUAGACAGGAGCAAGAAGAGAUGGAGUACACCGAAGAAGAUCAAACACAUGAUAGAGAAUAGGGUACAAGGAAGAAUGGGAGAGAGUGAAGAACAUUUGAGGACAUGCUGGAGAACCCGCUAAACAGCACUCAGUGGAUGAAUGAUCCUGAGACAGGUCCUGUCAUGCUCCAGAUUUCCAGAAUCUUUCAGACGUUGAACCGCACGUAAAACACUGCCUUUCAGCAGGCGGAACCACAGCAAAAAGAAAAGUGUGUACAUUUAUAAGAAAGUGUGUAUGUAAUAGCUAUUGUGUUAAGUGAAAGAAACAGAAAAAAAUGUAAACACAUUGAAAUUUUAAAAUCACGCAAUAUAGAUGAAAGUACCUAUUUAUAAACAAUACUUGUAAAAAAUACAACGAAAACAGUAACUUUCUGACUUCAUUGUUUUUUGCUUUAUUAAGAUGUGUUUUUAAUAUUAUGAAGCACAUAGUUUGUUUUAUAUAAAUUAUUUUAUGAAUUGUAAGAUUUGACAUAAAAAGAAAAAGUUAUUUAACAAUGCUGUUGUCUGUGUCUUGCUCAAAAAUUAACUAAAUUAUUUUACAUAAUUUGAAACACAAUAUUUGUCAUAUGUGACCCUGGAUCACAAUACCAGUCUUAAGUAGCAUGGGAAUACUUUUAGUAAAAGACAAAAAUACAUUGUAUGGGUCAAAAUGAUUGAUUUUUCUUUUAUGGCAAAAAUCAUUAGUAUAUUAUGUAUAGAUCAUGUUCCAUGAAAAUAUUUUGUAUAUUUCCUAUCUUAAAGAUACAAAAACUUGAUUUUUGUGAGUGGAUGGCCUGCCAUAGUGUCUCUGAUUAACAACUUCAAAGGCAAUCUUCUCAAUAUUUCGAUUUUUUUGCACUCUCAGAUACCCGAGUUUUAAACGGUUGUAUCUCAACCAGAUAUUGUCCUAUUCAAACAACUCUUAUAUAAAUAGAAAUCUUAUUUAUUCAGCUUUCAGAUCAUGUAAAUAUAUCAAUUUCGAAAUAUUGACCAUUAAGACUGGUUCUGUUUUCCAGGGUCACAUAUUAUCUAUUGGGAGGUGAAUAGUGUUUAUGUGGUUGUUUUUAUUAUCGGAUCAGAGACUAAACAUGUUAUGCAUUAGUUUAUUUGGUCUUUCCCAGUAUGUAAAAAAAUGCAUUUUGGAUGCCAAGGUCAUGGGUUCGAUCCCAGGGGAUUGCACAUAGGCAGAAACAAAUGUAUAGUACAAUGCAAUGUAAGUCGCUUUGGAUAAAAGCGUCUGCCAAAUGCAUUAUUGUAAAUGUAAGUGUAAGGCUUUGGGGUUUUGUUAACAUUUCAGUAAAAUUACAAUAAAUUGUGGUGGAAUAAUUUAACAUUAUUUAACUACAUAAGUUAACAUGAACUUGCAAUGAAUAGUAUUUAAACUGCAUUUAUAAAUCUUAAUGUAAAUUUCAACAGUUACUACUACAUUGAUGUUUACAGCUACAACUCUUAUUUUUAAUAAACCACAAAGACUGAACAAUGAAUACAUGUUUUUCUUUGAAUUUACAAUAACAGAUUAAUAAGUGCUGUGAGGAAUAUACUGUUCAUUAAUCAUUUGUGUGGACUAAUAAUGUGAAUGACGGUAUGUAGUGUUAGUGAAUGGAACCUGUAAGGUGUUUCCAGAGGUUUUUCUGUGAUAUUGUUGAUGUGAUGCAAUGCCGUUCAUUCAAAUGGAUGUGUGUCUUUUUUAUUUUGUCAGAUUACUGUAGUGAGGUAAACGAAGAAAAGAAAAUUGUUAAAAUAAAGGACUCAAAAAUCUA